rnacentral:rRNA from 1 species
ACGGAAGGCAGCAGUGGGGGAUAUUGCACAAUGGGGAAACCCUGAUGCAGCGACGCCGCGUGAGUGAAGAAGUAUUUCGGUAUGUAAAGCUCUAUCAGCAGGAAAGAUAAUGACGGUACCUGACUAAGAAGCACCGGCUAAAUACGUGCCAGCAGCCGCGGUAAUACGUAUGGUGCAAGCGUUAUCCGGAUUUACUGGGUGUAAAGGGAGCGUAGACGGCAUGGCAAGCCAGAUGUGAAAGGCAGGGGCUCAACUCCUGGACUGCAUUUGGAACUGUCAAGCUAGAGUAUCGGAGAGGUAAGUGGAAUUCCUAGUGUAGCGGUGAAAUGCGUAGAUAUUAGGAGGAACACCAGUGGCGAAGGCGGCUUGCUGGACGAUAACUGACGUUGAGGCUCGAAAGCGUGGGGAGCAAACAGGAUUAGAUACCCUGGUA